CUACACCCAGUACAGUGAACCAGUCCACAUACAGGUUACUGCUCCACCAACAGCCUCAGUGAGUGUCUCUCCUCAUGGUCUCCUCUACUCUGGAGAGACUGUUACUCUGCAGUGUGACAUAUCAAGCUACACAGACUGGACAUACAGGUGGUACCAAAAUAAACAACUACAGAGUCCGGGUUCACCUUCUAAAACCAUCACCACUCUGUCUGACCAGGUGAGUCAGUACCAGUGUCAGGGGAGAAGAACAGAUCGUCCCCAGUUGUCACAACGCAGUGUUUUCCUCAAAAUCCGUGUCACUGCUAAUCAGCCAAAGGCCACACUGAGUUCAGACCAAAAGGAUAUAUUGACAGGAGACAGUGUGACACUGACCUGUACUGUAGAGUCUUCUGGAUGGAGGUUUUACUGGUACAGACACAGACAAGACUCUGAACCAGUAGCUACAACCUCUGGAUCCUCCUACACACUCAGACAGGUCAG